rnacentral:rRNA from 1 species
AUUGAACGCUGGCGGCAGGCCUAACACAUGCAAGUCGAGCGGAUGAAGGGAGCUUGCUCCUGGAUUCAGCGGCGGACGGGUGAGUAAUGCCUAGGAAUCUGCCUGGUAGUGGGGGAUAACGUCCGGAAACGGGCGCUAAUACCGCAUACGUCCUGAGGGAGAAAGUGGGGGAUCUUCGGACCUCACGCUAUCAGAUGAGCCUAGGUCGGAUUAGCUAGUUGGUGGGGUAAAGGCCUACCAAGGCGACGAUCCGUAACUGGUCUGAGAGGAUGAUCAGUCACACUGGAACUAAGACACGGUCCAGACUCCUACGGGAGGCAGCAGUGGGGAAUAGUGGACAAUGGGCGAAAGCCUGAUCCAGCCAUGCCGCGUGUGUGAAGAAGGUCUUCGGAUUGUAAAGCACUUUAAGUUGGGAGGAAGGGCAGUAAGUUAAUACCUUGCUGUUUUGACGUUACCAACAGAAUAAGCACCGGCUAACUUCGU